UACGUAGGUGGCAAGCGUUGUCCGGAUUUACUGGGCGUAAAGAGCGCGCAGGCGGUCGUUCAAGUCGCGUGUGAAAGCCCCCGGCUCAACUGGGGAGGGUCACGCGAUACUGAUCGACUCGAAGGCAGGAGAGGGUAGUGGAAUUCCCGGUGUAGUGGUGAAAUGCGUAGAUAUCGGGAGGAACACCCAUAGCGAAGGCAGCUUGCUGGGACGUUACUGACGCUAAGGCGCGAAAGCGUGGGGAGCGAACAGG
rnacentral:rRNA from 1 species